rnacentral:misc_RNA from 1 species
UGGGUUUGACAUGCUCGUGGUACCGACCUGAAAGGGGAGGGACCCGCAAGGGAGCGGGCACAGCUGCUGCAUGGCUGUCGUCAGCUCGUGCCGUGAGGUGUUGGGUUAAGUCCCGCAACGAGCGCAACCCUCGCUGCCAGUUAUCGUAUCUGGCGGGACCGCCGGGAUCAACCCGGAGGAAGGUGGGGAUGACGUAGAACGGUUGGU